rnacentral:rRNA from 1 species
UGCGCAGGUGGGUUGGCAAGUUUGAUGUGAAAGCCCCGGGCUUAACCCGGGAAUGGCAUUGAAUACUGCUGAUCUGGAGGAUUGGGAGGGGGGACGUGGAAUUCUUGGUGUAGCAGUGAAAUGCGUAGAUAUCAAGAGGAACACCAGUGGCGAAGGCGAGUCCCUGGACAAUACCUGACACUGAGGCAACGAAAAGCCCAAAGGGGAGACCAAAACGA